GUCUACGGCCAUGACACCCUGAACGUACCCGAUCUCGUCUGAUCUUGGAAGCUAAGUAGGGUCAGGCCUGGUUAGUAUUUGAAUGGGAGACUACCUAGGAAUACCAGGUGUUGUAGGCG
rnacentral:rRNA from 1 species